UACGUAGGCAGCAAGCGUUGUUCGGAAUUACUGGGCGUAAAGAGUGUGUAGGCGGUGCUCUAAGUCUGUUGUGAAAUCUCCCGGCUUAACUGGGAGGGGCCGUGCGAAACUGCCUGGCUUGAGGUCGGAAGGGGAAAGUGGAAUUCCGGGUGUAGUGGUGGAAUACGUAGAUAUCCGGAGGAACACCAGCGGCGAAGGCGGCUUUCUGGUCCGAUUCUGACGCUGAGGCGCGAAAGCGUGGGGAGCGAUCCGG
rnacentral:rRNA from 1 species